rnacentral:rRNA from 1 species
GACGAACGCUGGUGGCGUGCUUAACACAUGCAAGUCGAACGAAGUGGCGAACGGGUGAGUAACGCGUAAUCAACCUGCCCUUCAGAGGGGGACAACAGAUGGAAACGACUGCUAAUACCGCAUACUGCAGGAGGGGAUUGCGUCUGCUCAGCUAGUUGGAGGGGUCACGGCCCACCAAGGCGAUGAUCACUUGGCGGUCGUGGAGGGUGAACGGGCACAUUUGGGACGAGGCAAGGCCCAGGCUCCUACGGGAGGCAGCAGUGGGGGAUCUUCCGCAAUGGACGGAAGGCUGACGGAGCAAAGCCGCGUGAGUGGUGACGGCCUUCGGGUUGUAAAGCUCUGUUAAUCGGGACGCAGUACCGGAAUAGAAAGCCACGGCUAACUACGUGCCAGCCGCCGCGGUAAUUC